UCUAGCAAAGCGUCGAUAGAAUUCAAGGGAGGAAAAGCAGGUCUCGAAUCCUGGACCUUUGUUACAGUAGUCCAGAGCGCGCACCACAUAACCAGGAAGCCAUCCAUAUCUUGCUUAUAUGAUAACGUUAUUGUCUGACGUCCAAGCAUAACGUUAUUGUCUUGCUGUUGAUGUGACGUCAUUGUCUUGCUGUUGAUGUGACGUCAAUGUCUUGCUGGCGGCUGUUUGACGUUUCUGUCUUGCUGAUGAUAAGACGUUAAUUGUAUUAAUUGUUCCAUAACAUUUAUACCAUGGGGAACUUAAAGUUGUAAAGUUGCGGGAACUUCUUAGCAAGCGGUUUAUUAGUGAAUAGCUAGUCUAACACAUUGUCUGCUUAUUUUUAUUUUGUUUGAUAUGAAAAUAAGGGGAAUAACUGCUACUUAAACAAAGAUGUGGGUGUAUGUAUGGAGUUAAUCCCCUUAUUGCGUUUUGACACGUUUUUUCUCCCACUUCUCAUUCUCGGAUCAAGUUGAAAUUUUGCGUAAUGAUUCAUAGUUGAUGAUAAUAUCCGAAUCAAUCCAAAAAUUAACCAAUUAGUUGAUCAUUUAGUACUUAUUAAUAAAUUUUGUUUUAUAUAACAGAAAGGGAGCUAAACCCUGUGAUUUUCAGAUAAAUGGCAGUAAUCAGCGGUUCUUUCCCUUAAAUAAGCUUUGUUGUUUUUUUUUUAUAAUUUCUAUUGCUUGUUAAAGUUUUUCUAGUAAGUGUCAAGCACUUAAUAAAUAUUGAUAGAGGACAGAACACCUUUCAGUGUAAGGAAGGAAAAUAACAUGAUUUGGCCCCGGUUCGAACUUCCUAUGCUAGUCCGUUAUGUGGCAUUAUGUUACCACUGGGAGAACAUUGUGAAUUAUGAUCUUUUGUAUAGUUUACCUGAAAAAUAGUUGUUAACUCAUUAAUUUUCACUAUCUUUAAAUCUUUCAUUCUCUCUCUCUCUCUCGUUCUUUUUCUACAUCUUAUUAUUUUUUUAAAUCUUUCUCUUUUUAUUCUCUCUUUUUCACUAUUUCUUUUCUCUCUCUUUCUAUCUCUCUCUUAUGUCCGUUCUUUCUUUCUUUCUCUUUCUCGCUUUCUCUUUUUAUUUCUCUCUUUUUCU